rnacentral:rRNA from 1 species
UACAUGCAAGUAGAACGCUGAAGAGAGGAGCUUGCUCUUCUUGGAUGAGUUGCGAACGGGUGAGUAACGCGUAGGUAACCUGCCUUGUAGCGGGGGAUAACUAUUGGAAACGAUAGCUAAUACCGCAUAACAAUGGAUGACCCAUGUCAUUUAUUUGAAAGGGGCAAAUGCUCCACUACAAGAUGGACCUGCGUUGUAUUAGCUAGUAGGUGAGGUAACGGCUCACCUAGGCGACGAUACAUAGCCGACCUGAGAGGGUGAUCGGCCACACUGGGACUGAGACACGGCCCAGACUCCUACGGGAGGCAGCAGUAGGGAAUCUUCGGCAAUGGGGGCAACCCUGACCGAGCAACGCCGCGUGAGUGAAGAAGGUUUUCGGAUCGUAAAGCUCUGUUGUAAGUCAAGAACGAGUGUGAGAGUGGAAAGUUCACACUGUGACGGUAGCUUACCAGAAAGGGACGGCUAACUACGUGCCAGCAGCCGCGGUAAUACGUAGGUCCCGAGCGUUGUCCGGAUUUAUUGGGCGUAAAGCGAGCGCAGGCGGUUUGAUAAGUCUGAAGUUAAAGGCUGUGGCUCAACCAUAGUUCGCUUUGGAAACUGUCAAACUUGAGUGCAGAAGGGGAGAGUGGAAUUCCAUGUGUAGCGGUGAAAUGCGUAGAUAUAUGGAG